GUCGGCUUAGUUACAACCAGCGCUCUGUUGGUGUUCUUUUCCAAACCACUGUACGACGCAUUCAUCGCUGACGACCCCCCAGUAAGGCGGGAAUACCGUUCAUUUCGAAUCGGCCCGAAGUAAAGUGGAGGCGUAAAACCUAUCAAAAUGGAAUCCGUGAGAAAGGCCAACCAAAGACUUAAAAACUAUCCCAUAUUGCUGGCCAAGUGUUCCGUAGCCGCGGCCGCCUACGCUACGUGUGUGACAACGGACCUCAAUGUGUCGCAUAAGUCGUGUGAUCAGGAAUUCCGCCAGUUUAAACAGUGCCUGCAGAAGGCGGCCAGUGAUAUGAAAACGAAACUAUGAUCGAAGUGAGUGAAUGAAGUGAUUAGCAUUUCAAUAUACAUGUAGUGAAUGAACUAACCAAUUCGGCGAGUAAUACUACUAACAUUUUAUAAAGUUCAAUAAACAAAUGAAGCCAGCUAAAAAAAUGCUUGAGUCAAUACACCAGUCGAAAAU